AAGAAUUCUAUGAGUCAGAAUAGUAAAUAUAAACAUUUUAUUCAGCGAGUCGACAGGUGGUGUGAGGUCGGUAUAAGUGUUAUAUUGAAUGGUCUGAUGAGAAGUGAGGCGAAAUCAUUAAUUUGAAAUUAGCUGCAACCGUGGGCUUUACGUUAUAAAAGCAGGAUAUCGAGUAGCCAAGAGUUAUUUCCGUAUCUGAAAAAGAGGGUUUGCCAUAUCGGUGAACUAAAUAAAGGUGGCACCACGAGAAGUCUCGUCCUAUAC
rnacentral:ncRNA from 1 species